UAGAGAGGUCAAUCACACCAAAUUGUUUGACAGGAAAAUUUGGGACUGUUACUUCGCUCAAGCUAUUAGGCUUUCACAUCACCAUAAGAGAAUCAUUUCACGUUAGUUGAACUGAUGAAGGAAAAUGUACAAUCAACUUUUAUGCUCCAAAACAUGUGGUCACAUUUCUGUUGUUCGUUUUGCUAACAGCUAGUAUAAACUAACUCUACAGUCACAACAUACGAUUAAUUUGCUUCCAUGCCCAAAGCGUCUUAUACCGCACCCAUUUGCUAAAACCCAUGCCCUCAUGCUCUUGACCGGUCUCUUCAGGCACGGAAGCUCCAAUGGUGGACUCAUCUCGUUCCAUGUAAAUAUGGGCAACGUGGAAACUGCCUGAAAAGUGUUUGAUGUAUUGCCUCAAAGAGGCAUAGAUGCGUGGAAUGCCAUGAUCAUUGUGUAUUCGCGUAAAGAGUACCGAGUUGAAGUUCCAUGUCUCUAUCAUCGGAUAAUCUUGGACGGUGUAAGACCUGAUAGCUCAACUUUCAUUGUGGCCCUCAAAUUUUUACGGUUUUAACUAACUUUUUUUCCACUCAUGCCAUUUGUUCUGGUAUGUGCGGGAUGUGAAGAAAAUUUAUCGUAGAGGCUUUGGGUUUGUGACCUUUGCAAAUAAUUCUUCAGCUGCCUGGGUUGCCUGACGCAAAAAUUUAAUACAAGGUUGAAAGAAAAAACUUCUUGAUGUUGAUCUACUGGUUUAUGUAUACACAGAAGCCAAUCAGUAUAGAAAGGAAAGAAGUUAAAUUUUCGACACCGAUAAUGCAUGAUGGUGAUGUUUAUAUUAAUUUUCUUGAAUCUUUACACUUACUUUUAAAACUAAAUUACCAUUUUUGAUAAUAUGAUGAACUCCUUCUAUGAUCUUAACCCUCUAAAAGUGCAGGUAUUGGGUUCUAUUUUCAACUUGUGGGAGGAGAGGGGAAUCGCUACCCCAUUGUCCCUUAGUCACAUUUUUUAUUUUAAGAUAAGUAAGAGAGAGUUGAUAGCACAUUUGAGCCUGGAAUUUAAAAGGGUCAGGAUUAGCAUUUUGGGUGUGGAUGAAGUUUCGAAAACAUGGCUGAUCUAGUCUACGGACACCAUGUUCUGUGAAUAUGGCACUUGUAUUGUGAUUGUUAUAAAUACUUCUCCACAAUCCCUAUACCAAGUUGCUGUAUCUGAUUGCAACUCUUGAAUUGACUUAAGAAAGACAGCUUGUGAUUGAAGACUCAUCGUAGUUCUAGUAGUGGAAGCAGAAUCUUAGAAAUCAACUGGCCGAAUUGGCUAGUCCCAGCUGGUUGGAAUUUGAAAUAUAAGAAAGAAGAAGUAGUCUGACUUGAUUAAUCUAGUGAAAGCUUUUGUAAAUUCCUGUUGCGUUUUUCUUUGUGCAACUCUGUUGGGUUUGAAUUUCACUUUAAUUUGAAGAAAACUCGAUUAAUCUAAUUGAACAUGUGAAGUAUACAGGACCUAUACUGGAUGGAAUGUCAUUACAUUGAAGAAAAUAAUAAAACAACUUGUUCUCAUUUUAUCGUUGGUGCACUAGUUUUUUAUGAAUUCUGUUUCUUGCAGAUUGUAUUAGAGAAUGCUUUUCCUAUUGCGAAUGAUAUGGUGGCUGUAGAUCCCUCUUCCACUGUGGUGCAUUCUUUGAGAAAGAAACGAAAUUAUCUUCAUUUACAGUUCCAAAUCAGCUAAGUUUUAAAUGUUAGCAAAUAGCAAGCAUUCCUUUUUUUUUUUUUUUUGUUUGAAUUUCUGCCUAUUCAAAAAGGAAUCAGAUUGCUUUUCAUUUAGCUUGUUAGUACCAGUACCGCAAAUAGCCUUUAUGUCUUCACUCUCACACGUGAAUUUUUCACUGCCUAAACUCCUAUGAUAUAGCUCUGAGCUACAGAUGAUAUAGCUCCUCUAGUUGUUUUAUGAAGCUAUGUACUCUCCUUAGUUAUCUCAAAAAAAAAAACUCCUAUUCUCGUUCUUCUUCACUUCUUCUAUUAGUACUAGAUUAUGUAUACAAAAGCAAUAGCGUGAACCUAACAAUAACACAGAAGCAAUAGCACGAAGAAGGCAUGGCUAACUAACGAAAUUGUUAGCAAAAUGAUGUUAUUUUGCAAAAAAAUCCCAGUGAGUUGUAGCGUCAACCAUUGAUAUUACCGUUGGGCUCAUUUCUUCUUUUUCAUUUCAUUUCCUUCAUUUCAGACUUUUUCCUUCAUUUUCGCUUUACUCUUCCCCACAACCUUCUCUCACAUUUGUUCUUUUUCAUUUCAUUCCAAAGAUCUGAUGAAACCAAAGCUCUUGGCCAGCCAAAAAGAACCCAUCCAUGAUUGAAGUUGCUGACUGAAGAGACCCAAGCUCUUCGCCAGCGAGGCACGCUCUGUCACCAUCCGGCUGUUACUCCACUUGAUCAAGUUUCUAGAUCUUCUCACAGAUUUUUAAAGCUUCGUGAUCACAUGAUGCAUUCUUAAGCACCCUGCCCCUGCCCCUGGGUUUUGUGGGAAUGGAAAGAAAAUGAAAGAUUGGCAAGAGAGAAGAAGAGAACCCGUGCCAGAAGUGGGAGAAGAUCAAAGUGGGAGGAAGAGUGUUUUGGCUUGGUUGUUUCAGUAAUUUUCUGGGUUUUCUGAUGGGAGAAGGCGAAAGUGGAGAGGAAUAGCAGAAAAAUGAAAGAUGAAGGAGAGAGAACGCAGGUAGGGGUGUUUUUUGUUCUGUGUAGUGUCACUGUCUCAAACUACUAUACAAAGGUGGGGGGAAGUGGGAAAGUGCCAGCAUAGAGUGUAGUGGAAGUGAAAGGAAAACUUCAUGCUUUUCUUAUGGAAGAUAAGAGCCAUUAUCAAUAUGAAUAUAUGAUGCAACUUUUGGAUAAGCUGGCUCAUGAAAUGAGAACUAUUGGAUAUGUCCCAAAUACUGAAUUUGUGUUGCAUUCCCUUGAUGAGGAUGUCAAAGAAAAAAUGUUAUGUAAUCACCGUGAGAGGCUUGCUAUUGCUUUUGGUCUCUUAAACACAGGGCCUGGAACCAGAUUACUAAUCAUAAAAAACCUUAGGGUGUGUGGGGAUUGCCAUGAAGCAACUAAGUUCAUUACAAAGAUUGUUAACAGAGAGAUUGUUGUUAGGUAUGUGAAGCGAUUUCAUCACUUCAAGAAUGGGAUCUGCCCACAUGGUGACUACUGGUGAAGCUGAUGUGCGUAGAUUUCCUUUCUCUUUGCUGGAUUUUUCACAGAGGAGGUGUUGAAAUAUCAGGUUAGGAUCUGACACCUCUAUAGGAAAGCAAGUUGUUAAUAUUAUAAUGGGGUAAUGGAAGAGACAAGCAAGCUAACAUCUCAAUUGCAUACUACAACCUCUAAGCCUAAGGAGUGUAUAGAUGAAGCUUGGUAACCAGUAGAGUCCUUGGAGAUGGUCCCAUCCAACAUAUCCAAAUCCAGCUGGAUUGCUGGCAGAAUUUGGUCGUUGAUAUACAUCCACCACUUUAUCAAUUUCACCUUUAUACUAUAUUCUUCAGCCAAGUUCAAAGAGAUUUUAUCGAAAAUGAUACACUUUCUUUAUUGCUCACAGAAGAUGCAGAUUGUUGAAAGGAUUUAUCUCUGAUUGAAAUGCCAAAGAAAAAGACUUGCAGGAUUUUUUUUAUCCAAAUGUCUUCUUUCAUGCUUAGCAUCAACAAGACUGAUUUUCCUCUAACAGCUCCGGUUCUGGGACGUAUUUAGGUAGUACAUGAUUAAGUUGGUGAAUUGGAAAAUGUAAAUGGUGAUGAAGGAAAAUCGCAGAACAAGAUGUUCAAUGGAUUUGGCUUAUUUAGCUCUUCAGAAGAUCUAUAAGUAUUGAGCUGCUUGACAAUUAAAUUUAAUCAGUGUAGGUUGAGCAAGUGGACAUUCUUUUAAAUUAAAUUAUCUGAUAUUCUUGCUGUCAAAAAAAAUUCUGAAAUAGCCAACCACCUCAAGAUGAUGUUAAAAGCUGUAAAACAAAUUAGGCAAUCUUUAGUUUUACAGCUUUAUGUUCCCAUUGUCUUGUGAAAUUAAUACAAAUUGAUGUUGAAAGCCAAAAUACAUUUCAAUUGUAUACCAUAUGUAACAAAGCUUACCCAAUAUCAUCUUCUCAUAGCACAAUUACAGUCUGAAAUAGCCAACCAUUUGAUUUGCAAAAGAGUAAAGAACCUAUGACCUUUGUUUUGUACUAAAUUAUCUUCUUAUUAAUCUAAAUCAAUGCACAUGUGUUUAAAUUUGAUUGGUCUGUUAUUUUGCUCCCAAGUUUUCUUUUUUCAUAUGUAACUUAUGUUUAUUAGCUAUAGAAAGGCAAAAAAGAAGGGAAAAAAAUCUUAGGCAGCUGGUAGACAAAAGCUAACUGCUUUGAAAUUGAAAAUUAAUUGGUUAUUCUUCAAAUAAUUGUAAAUCAUGUUGCUUGGUUUUUGUAAUUGAGUUUUAAGUGUUAUAUCUACAUGUAUGAAGUAUUGCCUAAUUGUCUUCACUUAAACUAUGCUGAUAUAUUGUGAGAAGAUUGAAUUUCUUUCAAAAUAUAGUAAUUUUGGUAGAACAACCAUAAUAACCCAUGUUAACUUAUAAAAUUCUCUAUCCAUCCUCUUGAUGCUGGCUCAUAGGUAUCAGUCAUGAGCAAUAUGUUACAAAGAUCAACAAGUUACCUCUUACCAGAGAACUUUCUCUAUUUAUCUUUUAAUAUUGUAAUAUAUAAGUCUAUGACAGAGAGUUUAUUCAAAAGAGAGUAUAAAAGAUACAAUGCUUAAGAAAAGCUAGCAUUGAGUGGACUUCAGAAACAAAGGAAAGUACAAAUUAAAAGGAUAGUAACACUGGAUAAAAGACCAAAAAUAGUAUGAAGACCAUGAAGUUCCAAUAUAGCAUCUCACAUCUCAGCAGUGAGUGCACUGCUCUUGGCCAGAAAGCCCGCCUGCUUUUUACAAUUGGUUAGACAUAUUGUAUAAGCUCAAGAGUAUAAGCUCGUAUGUUUCUAUGCUGAAUCCUGUCCUAAGUGAUGAUCAUCUACAUUGAUAUGUUUCUUUAUGUCAUGGUAAAUUGGGUUAUCACAACAUAAUUCAUUGGUUGUUUAUCGUAAGAAAUUCCAAUAAAAGUAUCAAGAAAAACUUCAUUUUCUCCGUUCAGCCUUUACCCAUAUCUUUUAAUGGCUUUUAUGGUAAAGAGAUAUUUUAUUUGCAUUUCUUUUUAUUUUGUAUUGUAUUAUACAGCUCUAGCAGUUUGGUUUGGAUGAUGAUAUAGUUAAUACUUAUAUGUAUUUACUCUGUGGGGUAUGUAGUUGGCUUUUGCCUUGCCAUUUUUUUUCCCGGCCUAAGAUGAUUUUAUAGCUUCAUGGGAUAAUCUUUCUCAUGAAAUUUAUUAUAUUUUCAUGAGAAAGAGCUGUCUCUUAUUUACUUGCCUUUACAGAAUGUUAACUCACUGUUUUCAACAGGAAGAAACGGUACUUCCAAGGGUUGUACCCAAGUUUUUGUUGCUUGAAUACCUCCAAGUGUCACGGAUGAUGAUAUUUGAAGGAUCCGAUGACAAAACAACACAUUGGAAUUGGAGUUUGAAAUAAAUAAAAAUGCAGGAAGUGCAGCUAGAGUUUUAUGAAGUUUUUGUAUUCUAGUUUUACUCAGAUUCAGUAGACCCAAUAAUGUCUGAAACAUGGGAACUUAAAGGUUCUACAGUUGCUGUGGACUUAGUAACUCCAAAGGUGUCUUAUUUAAUGUGCUAGUACUGACAAUCGAUUCUCUGUUAAGGUGAUGGUAGACCUGCAUAUUCCACCUGCCAUAAUUUGUUUAUGCAAAUAUUGGUAGUAGCCGUAUCUGUAAUAUAGGAGUAAUGCUACGUUAGCAUUUUAAAAGCUAAUUUCCUCCUUGGCUAAAAAGGCAAAACAAAGGGAUAAAAUGUUCUGUUUAGUGAUGAUUUUAAGAAGUUAUUUAGAUGUAGAAAAA